rnacentral:rRNA from 1 species
AACUGCAUUUGAAACUGGUGAACUAGAGUACUGUAGAGGGGGGUAGAAUUUCAGGUGUAGCGGUGAAAUGCGUAGAGAUCUGAAGGAAUACCAGUGGCGAAGGCGGCCCCCUGGACAGAUACUGACACUCAGAUGCGAAAGCGUGGGGAGCAAACAGGAUUAUAUACCCUGGUAGUCCACGCCGUAAACGAUGUCUACUUGGAGGUUGUGGCCUUGAGCCGUGGCUUUCGGAGCUAACGCGUUAAGUAGACCGCCUGGGGAGGACGGACGCGAGAUUAAAACUCAAAUGAAUUGACGGGGGCCCGCACAAGCGGUGGAGCAUGUGGGUUAAUUCGAUGCAACGCGAAUAACCUUACCUACUCUUGACAUCCAGAGAAGCCAGCGGAGACGCAGGUGUGCCUUCGGGAGCUCUGAGACAGGUGCUGCAUGGGUGUCGUC